UACAGAGGUCUCAAGCGUUGUUCGGAUUCAUUGGGCGUAAAGGGUGCGUAGGCGGCGCGGUAAGUCGGGUGUGAAAUCUCGGGGCUUAACUCCGAAACUGCAUUCGAUACUGCCGUGCUUGAGGACUGGAGAGGAGACUGGAAUUUACGGUGUAGCGGUGAAAUGCGUAGAUAUUAGGAAGAACACCGGUGGCGAAGGCGGCCCACUGGAUCGGUACUGACGCUGAGGUGCGAAAGCGUGGGGAGCAAACAGG
rnacentral:rRNA from 1 species